ACUACUAUUAGACUACCGUGUACGUCCAGACCGUAAACUAUGCUCGCUAGGUGUCAGGGACGGUGCGACCGUUUCUGGUGCCGCAGGGAAGCCGUGAAGCGAGCCACCUGGGAAGUACGGUCGCAAGGCUGAAACUUAAAGGAAUUGGCGGGGGAGCACAACAACGGGUGGAGCUUGCGGUUUAAUUGGAUUCAACGCCGGAAAUCUUACCGGGACCGACAGCAACAUGAAGGCCAAGCUGAAGACUUUGCCGGAUUAGCUG
rnacentral:rRNA from 1 species